rnacentral:rRNA from 1 species
AUUGAACGCUGGCGGCAGGCCUAACACAUGCAAGUCGAGCGGAUGAAGGGAGCUUGCUCCUGGAUUCAGCGGCGGACGGGUGAGUAAUGCCUAGGAAUCUGCCUGGUCGUGGGGGAUAACGUCCGGAAACGGGCGCUAAUACCGCAUACGUCCUGAGGGAGAAAGUGGGGGAUCUUCGGACCUCACGCUAUCAGAUGAGCCUAGGUCGGAUUGGCUAGUUGGUGGGGUAAAGGCCUACCAAGGCGACGAUCCGUAACUGGUCUGAGAGGAUGAUCAGUCAGACUGGAACUGAGACACGGCCCAGACUCCGACGGGGAGCAGCAGUGGGGAAUAUUGGACGAUGGGCGAAUGCCUGAUCCAGCCAUGCCGCGUGUGUGAAGAAGGUCUUCUGAUUGUAAAGCACUUUAAGUUUGGAGGAAGGGCAGUAAGUUAAUACCUUGCUGUUUUGACGGUACCAACAGAAUAAGCACCGGCUAACUUCGUG